rnacentral:rRNA from 1 species
AGAGUUUGAUCCUGGCUCAGAUUGAACGCUGGCGGCAGGCCUAACACAUGCAAGUCGAGCGGCAGCACGGGUACUUGUACCUGGUGGCGAGCGGCGGACGGGUGAGUAAUGCCUAGGAAUCUGCCUGGUAGUGGGGGAUAACGCUCGGAAACGGACGCUAAUACCGCAUACGUCCUACGGGAGAAAGCAGGGGACCUUCGGGCCUUGCGCUAUCAGAUGAGCCUAGGUCGGAUUAGCUAGUUGGUGAGGUAAUGGCUCACCAAGGCGACGAUCCGUAACUGGUCUGAGAGGAUGAUCAGUCACACUGGAACUGAGACACGGUCCAGACUCCUACGGGAGGCAGCAGUGGGGAAUAUUGGACAAUGGGCGAAAGCCUGAUCCAGCCAUGCCGCGUGUGUGAAGAAGGUCUUCGGAUUGUAAAGCACUUUAAGUUGGGAGGAAGGGCAGUUACCUAAUACGUAUCUGUUUUGACGUUACCGACAGAAUAAGCACCGGCUAACUCUGUGCCAGCAGCCGCGGUAAUACAGAGGUGGCAAGCGUUGUUCGGAAUUACUGGGCUUAAAGGGCGCGUAGGCGGUGGAGUAAGUCUGAGGUGGAAGAUUAGGGCUUAACCCUAAAAUUGCCUUGGAAACUGCAUCACUUGAGUCAGCGAGGGGAUGGCGGAAUUCCAGGUGUAGCGGUGAAAUGCGUAGAUAUCUGGAGGAAGGCCGGUGGCGAAGGCGGCCAUCUGGCGCUGAACUGACGCUGAGGCGCGAAAGCGUGGGGAGCAAACAGGAUUAGAUACCCUGGUAGUCC